rnacentral:rRNA from 1 species
UACGGAGGAUGCGAGCGUUAUCCGGAUUUACUGGGUGUAAAGGGAGCGUAGACGGCCAGACAAGUCUGAGGUGAAAAUCCAGCGCUUAACGUUGGAAGUGCUUUGGAAACUGCCGGGCUGGAGUGCAGGAGGGGCAGGCGGAAUUCCUAGUGUAGCGGUGAAAUGCGUAGAUAUCACGCAGAACCCCGAUUGCGAAGGCAGCAUACCGGCGCCCGACUGACGCUGAAGCACGAAAGCGUGGGUAUCGAACAGG